rnacentral:rRNA from 1 species
UACGGAGGGUGCGAGCGUUGUCCGGAAUCACUGGGCGUAAAGGGCGCGUAGGCGGCGCGGUAAGCGUGCGGUGAAAGUCCGGAACUCAACCCCGGAUCGACCGUGCGGACUGCCGGGCUUGAGCACUGUAGGGGCGGGUGGAACUCCGGGUGUAGCGGUGGAAUGCGUAGAGAUCCGGAAGAACACCGAUAGCGAAGGCGGCCCGCUGGGCAGUGACUGACGCUGAGGCGCGACAGCGUGGGGAGCAAACAGG